rnacentral:tRNA from 1 species
UCCCUGGUGGCUUAGAGGGUAAAGCAUCUGCCUGCAAUGCAGGAGACCCAGGUUCGAUCCCUGGGUUGGGAA